CCGCUUGGUGCCUGUCAUUCCUCUUCUGUAAUCAGUGUCCUGGUUAGCCUGGCCACAGAGCUAGACCAUGACCAUAGAAGUUGACCAGGACGGCACAACCAGGUCUGGGACCAGGCUAUGAUGUACUGAAAGGCUGUGAUUGGUCCUGUUUGUGUAACCUGAGUUUGACUUCCUGCUCCUAAUGCUGUGGAAACUCAGAGGGGUCGGUCUGAGAGCGUCUGGACAGCAGGUCACUGUGUUGGUCAGGCUCUGGGUCUGAGAGUGUCUGGACAGCAGGUCACUGUGUUGGUCAGGCUCUGGGUCUGAGAGUGUCUGGACAGCAGGUCACUGUGUUGGUCAGGCUCUGGGUCUGAGAGUGUCUGGACAGCAGGUCACUGUGUUGGUCAGGCUCUGGGUCUGAGAGUGUCUGGACAGCAGGUCACUGUGUUGGUCAGGCUCUGGGUCUGAGAGUGUCUGGACAGCAGGUCACUGUGUUGGUCAGGCUCUGGGUCUGAGAGUGUCUGGACAGCAGGUCACUGUGUUGGUCAGGCUCUGGGUCUGAGAGUGUCUGGACAGCAGGUCACUGUGUUGGUCAGGCUCUGGGUCUGAGAGUGUCUGGACAGCAGGUCACUGUGUUGGUCAGGCUCUGGGUCUGAGAGCGUCUGGACAGCAGGUCACUGUGUUGGUCAGGCUCUGGGCCUGAGAGUGUCUGGACAGCAGGCCACUGUGUUGGUCAGGCUCUGGGUCUGAGAGCGUCUGGACAGCAGGUCACUGUGUUGGUCAGGCUCUGGGUCUGAGAGUGUCUGGACAGCAGGUCACUGUGUUGGUCAGGCUCUGGGUCUGAGAGUGUCUGGACAGCAGGUCACUGUGUUGGUCAGGCUCUGGGUCUGAGAGUGUCUGGACAGCAGGUCACUGUGUUGGUCAGGCUCUGGGCCUGAGAGUGUCUGGACAGCAGGCCACUGUGUUGGUCAGGCUCUGGGUCUGAGAGCGUCUGGACAGCAGGUCACUGUGUUGGUCAGGCUCUGGGUCUGAGAGUGUCUGGACAGCAGGUCACUGUGUUGGUCAGGCUCUGGGUCUGAGAGUGUCUGGACAGCAGGUCACUGUGUUGGUCAGGCUCUGGGCCUGAGAGUGUCUGGACAGCAGGUCACUGUGUUGGUCAGGCUCUGGGCCUGAGAGUGUCUGUGUUGUCUGCCUCUCAGUCCGUGUCGUCUCAGUCCGUGUCGUCUCAGUCCGUGUCGUCUCAGUCCGUGUCGUCUCAGUCCGUGUCGUCUCAGUCCGUGUCGUCUCAGUCCGUGUCGUCUCAGUCCGUGUCGUCUCAGUCCGUGUCGUCUCAGUCCGUGUCGUCUCAGUCCGUGUCGUCUCAGUCCGUGUCGUCUCAGUCCGUGUCGUCUCAGUCCGUGUCGUCUCAGUCCGUGUCGUCUCAGUCCGUGUCGUCUCAGUCCGUGUCGUCUCAGUCCGUGUCGUCUCAGUCCGUGUCGUCUCAGUCCGUGUCGUCUCAGUCCGUGUCGUCUCAGUCCGUGUCGUCUCAGUCCGUGUCGUCUCAGUCCGUGUCGUCUCAGUCCGUGUCGUCUCAGUCCGUGUCGUCUCAGUCCGUGUCGUCUCAGUCCGUGUCGUCUCAGUCCGUGUCGUCUCAGUCCGUGUCGUCUCAGUCCGUGUCGUCUCAGUCCGUGUCGUCU